GUGUCAGCCGCCGCGGUAAUACAGAGGUGGCAAGCGUUGUUCGGAAUUAUUGGGCGUAAAGAGCGCGUAGGUGGAUUUGUAAGUCAGAUGUGAAAGCCUUCUGUUCAACGGAAGAAUUGCAUCUGAAACUGCAGACCUUGAGUGUAGGAGGGGAGAAUGGAACUUCUGGUGGAGCGGUGAAAUGCGUAGAUAUCAGAAGGAACGCCGGCGGCGAAAGCGAUUCUCUGGCCUAUUACUGACACUCAGUGCGCGAAAGCUAGGGGAGCAAACGGGAUUAGAUACCCCGGUAGUCCUAGCCGUAAACGAUGGGCACUAAGUAGAGGGAAUUACCGAUGUUCUCUCUGCCGUAGCUAACGCAUUAAGUGCCCCGCCUGGGGAGUACGGCCGCAAGGCUAAAACUCAAAGAAAUUGGCGG
rnacentral:rRNA from 1 species